rnacentral:rRNA from 1 species
GUGGGGAAUUUUCCGCAAUGGGCGAAAGCCUGACGGAGCGACGCCGCGUGGGGGACGAAGGCCUUCGGGUCGUAAACCCCUGUCAUGGGGAAAGAAGGGCGCUGAGGUGAAUAGCCUCGGCGUCUGACGGUACCCCAAGAGGAAGCCACGGCCAACUCCGUGCCAGCAGCCGCGGUAAUACGGAGGUGGCAAGCGUUGUUCGGAAUCACUGGGCGUAAAGGGCGCGUAGGCGGGGAGGUAAGUCGGGUGUGAAAUCCCUCGGCUCAACCGAGGAACGGCAUCCGAAACUGCUUCUCUUGAGUCCCGGAGAGGAAGGUGGAAUUCCCGGUGUAGCGGUGAAAUGUGUAGAGAUCGGGAGGAACACCGGUGGCGAAGGCGGCCUUCUGGACGGUGACUGACGCUGAGGCGCGAAAGCGUGGGGAGCAAACGGGAUUAGAUACCCUGGUAGUCC